CUCAAUGCAGAUCUGCAGUGCAUGUUAAAUUUGACUUUCUCUGUCCAGAACCAAUGCUGAAAACAUUCUAUUUUUAAGCAAUGUCUGGGAGCAUUCUAAAUUGCGCUCGCCUGUUCAUUGAAAGUAAAGAAAAGUUCUGUUUUCUACUGCUACCUAUUGACAGUUAGUCAAGUUUCUGCUUUUUUAACCCAAUAUUGUAUUCAUUAAAAUAGCACUCAGAUGUUUCCUUGCUAAUUGCUACUAUUUUUCCGUUUCGUUACUUUCGUUCUUUGUAAAAGUAACUUGUCAAUGGCACUUUCUGAUAACCAGCAGAUACCAGCAGUUAAGAAACACUCUUAUACAUGUAUGGCAAAACCAAUGAUGUACUUUUCAAACAUUACUGCACAUUUAGUUUAACUGUAGAAAUUUCUGCAUGCCGAAUAUCUUCACAUGUCCCUACAAGACGGAGCUAACUCAUACACCACUACACAUGCAAAUUUUUUCAGCUUUUACCAAUACAUACACAUUGCUAACAUUUUGUAGUUAAGUGGCAAUCUCGGUAGUUAGAGUAGCAAAAUUCAAUAACCCUAAUUUUUGUAUGUGUAAGAGAGAGACGCAAUGAACCGUUCAAAAAUCGCCGCCAUGGCCGCUGUUCAUUUCAAAAUAAAAUUUAAAGUGAAUGGAUUUAUACGUGUGUGCACAGGAAAGGAAGAGCAAGGAGGUGACGUUGGAAUUGGUGGAGGUUUUUGGAUUUAGCACUGGUGCAAUAUAUAUAACAACAACGCAGAAACAAUGGAUAAUAACAUGAUAUUGAAAACACAAAGGCGUUAGGCGUCAAUUGGUCCUUCCAUCGGAGUGGAGGUCUCCCUCUUCCUCGGCUUCCACCGGCGGGUACCGCAUCGAAAACUUUCAGAGCUGAGGCACUUUCGUCCAUUCGAACAACAUGACCAUGCCCGCGUAGCCGCUGUCUUUUUUUCGCUGGACUAUGCCUAUGUCGUCUAACAACACAUACAGCUCAUCAUUUCAUCUUCUGCGGUAUUCGCCGUUGCCAAUGUUUAAGAGACCAUAAAUCCCCAAAACCUUUCUCUCGAAAACUCCUAGUGCCGUCUCAUCGGAUGUUGACACCGUCCACGCUUCUGCACCAUAAAGUAGGACGGGAAUGAUGAGGGAUUUGUAGAGUUUAGUUUUUGCUCAUCGAGAGAGGACUUUACUUUUUAAUUGCCUACUCAGACCAUAAACACAAAAACUUUGCACAAAUGGAGGAUUACAAUAGCUACAACUUUUCUUAGGCAUGAUAAACAAGACAACAACAAAUCCCAUCGGACAUUUAGAUUAGCAGUUGCACAACUUCUUUCCGACGAGCUGAACCUUUUUAUGAUGUACAUAUGGGAUAGGAUUGUAUGGAAUUGACAUUUAUUAGUUUCGUUGGAUCCUUACAGGAUAGUUAUAAGGAAAUCGUUCGCGUUUAGUAUUAAUUUAUUCAUUUGCUAAUCCAUAAUUUAGAUGUAAAAUAUUAUUAAAUUAUACAAAUGAAUGUUCGAAUACUAAUAACAUUCGUAAUAAUAAUGGAAUUUCAUUUGAAUUGUAUAACAACAACUACAAAAAAUAAAAAUGUAAUAAUUAAUACUAAAUUUAUAUAUGAAAUAUGUAAAAAGUAAAAAUUUAAUAAUUAAUACUAACUUUAUUUUUAAAAUAUAUAAAUUUUGUCAAUGUAUAAAUAUAAAUGUAUAAAAAUUCAAUGUAUAAAUAGCUGCAAAAACGUUUGUAAAAAGUUCACUUUGUACUGAAAUGCUAAUAUUUAAAAAUUAAUCUAUAAUGAUUAUUAAAAAUUUUAAAUAUUAUACAAUACUAAUU